rnacentral:tRNA from 1 species
CGCGGGGUGGAGCAGCCAGGAAGCUCGCCGGGCUCAUAACCCGGAGGUCGCGGGUUCAAAUCCCGCCCCCGCAA